UACAGAGGGGGCAAGCGUUGUUCGGAAUUACUGGGCGUAAAGCGUGCGCAGGCGGUCCGCAAAGUCUGAUGUGAAAGCCCCGGGCUCAACCUGGGAACUGCAUUGGAAACUAACGGGCUCGAGUGUGGCAGAGGGGGGUGGAAUUCCACGUGUAGCAGUGAAAUGCGUAGAGAUGUGGAGGAACACCGAUGGCGAAGGCAGCCCCCUGGGCUAACACUGACGCUCAGGCACGAAAGCGUGGGGAGCAAACAGG
rnacentral:rRNA from 1 species